AUUGAACGCUAGCGGGACGCCUUACACAUGCAAGUCGAACGGCAGCACGGACUUCGGUCUGGUGGCGAGUGGCGAACGGGUGAGUAAUGUAUCGGAACGUGCCUAGUAGCGGGGGAUAACUACGCGAAAGCGUAGCUAAUACCGCAUACGCCCUACGGGGGAAAGCAGGGGAUCGCAAGACCUUGCACUAUUAGAGCGGCCGAUAUCGGAUUAGCUAGUUGGUGGGGUAACGGCUCACCAAGGCGACGAUCCGUAGCUGGUUUGAGAGGACGACCAGCCACACUGGGACUGAGACACGGCCCAGACUCCUACGGGAGGCAGCAGUGGGGAAUUUUGGACAAUGGGGGAAACCCUGAUCCAGCCAUCCCGCGUGUGCGAUGAAGGCCUUCGGGUUGUAAAGCACUUUUGGCAGGAAAGAAACGUCAUGGGUUAAUACCCCGUGAAACUGACGGUGCCUGCAGAAUAAGCACCGGCUAACUACGUGCCAGCAGCCGCGGUAAUACGUAGGGUGCAAGCGUUAAUCGGAAUUACUGGGCGUAAAGCGUGCGCAGGCGGUUCGGAAAGAAAGAUGUGAAAUCCCAGAGCUUAACUUUGGAACUGCAUUUUUAACUACCGAGCUAGAG
rnacentral:rRNA from 1 species